rnacentral:pre_miRNA from 1 species
UUUUCUCUUGGAGUUCCUCUGAAUGCUUCAAUCAUGAGACAAUCUAUAUGAAUAGUUCUUGUUCAAUGAAGUGUUUGGGGGAACUCUUGGAAUUGA